rnacentral:lncRNA from 1 species
AGGUAAGGUAAGCGUGAGUCUUCAGGGUUAUUUGUGGGUUCAACGCUUGAGUAAAUGCGUACAAAAAUAAAUAACAAAACUCUCAGUGAAAUAAUUAAUAAUAUUAUCUUUUAACCUGUCGUUAAUACGAAGUAAAUUAAUUAACCGGUUUUAAUAAUUGAAUGAUACGUAAUGAAAUUGUAAUAACAUAACCAAACAAAAUAAUAACUCAAAUUAAUCGUAAUUAAGAUUAUUGAAGUUCUCGGAUAAGGAAACUUGGACUCUUCAAUGGAAUCAGUAAAAAUGAUUCUUGAUUGGAUUGAAAUAAUUCUUCGGAAUGGAUUAAUUGGAUCAGAUUUCAACGUCCAGCUUCAAAAAUAUAUUCAAAUAUUUAAUGUACGGAUUUUCGUCCAAUUCUUCAUCAAAACUCCCAUAUAAUGGAUGGUUUUCGUCCUUGAGAUGCUAAGAUUAUCAUUUUCAAUAAUAUCAACUGGACAAAUAUGAAUUACAAUAAGAAAUUAAUGAAAAAUGAAAUUUGAGGUUAUGUCACUGUCGAAAUUCUACAAAAUUACUUCGUAUCGACUUUACAUGGAUUAAAUACAAUAAAAAACGUAAACGGCCAACAAUACAUAAUGAAUCUAUCAUAUUUACAACAUUUUAUUGAUACAAAAAUAAAUUUCUAUAAUUAUUAUUCAUAACCUCA